rfam:Idiomarina loihiensis L2TR, complete genome.
UUGCUCACAGCGUUCUUCCGUUAACGUCAGACAAAUCAGUCCGCGACCAUAACGCGCCAUAAAAUUGAUAGUUUCCGGCGUCACACACUCGGCUGCAAUAAUGA